GUAUACAAAUAUCUGUUCGAUUCCCUGCUUUCAAUUCUUUUGGGUAUUGUUGUACUGUGAAAUAUAUAUUUGGUCUUUGUUCCAAUUUCCUGGCAUACAACUCCUAAGAUCCUUGGAAUCUCCAAAGUGAUGUCUUUUUGUGUGCUAAUGAGUUGCCAGAUGGCUGGCAGCUCCUAGGUAGCUUCAGGAUGGGGGCUGGUCACCAGAAAUGAUUAGACGGUUGGGACUUUUGGCCCUAGCCCCAUCCUUUAGAGAGGAAAAAGGGGCUCAAGGUUAAGUUGAUCACCAGCGGUCAAUGGUUUAAUCAAUUAUGCCUACCUAACAAAGCUUCUAUAAAAACUGCAAAUGACAGGGUGUGGGAAGUUUCUGAAUAGUUGAACUCAUGAAAGUUCCUGGAGGGUGGCAUGCCUGGGAGGAUAUAAAAGCUCCACGUCUAUUUUCAUCUCUUACCCUAGGCAUCUUUUCAUCAAUACCCUUUGUAAUAUUCUUUAUAAUAAACUGGUAAAUGUAAGUUAAAAGUUAAGUGUCUUCCUGAGUUCUGUGAGCCACUCUAGCAAAUUAAUCGGACCAGAGGUGGGGAUCCCCCAUUUAUAGCCAGUCAGUAAGAAGUGCAGGUAAAGCAACCUGGGGCUUGCAAUUGGCAUAGGAAGUGGGGGGCAGUCUUGUGGACUGAGCACUCAACCUGUGGGAUCUGAUGCUCUCUCCAGGUAGAUAGUGUCAGAAUUGAAUUGAAUUAGAG
rnacentral:lncRNA from 10 species